rnacentral:rRNA from 1 species
UACGAAGGGGGCUAGCGUUGCUCGGAAUUAUUGGGCGUAAAGAGCGUGUAGGCGGCUAGGUAGGUCCGUUGUGAAAACUCGAGCUCAACCUCGAGACGCCGGUGGAAACCAUCUAGCUAGAGUCCGGAAGAGGAGAGUGGAAUUCCUGGUGUAGCGGUGAAAUGCGCAGAUAUCAGGAAGAACACCCGUGGCGAAGGCGGCUCUCUGGGACGUGACUGACGCUGAGACGCGAAAGCGUGGGGAGCGAACAGG